UCUAUCCUCCCUUUCCUGCCUGCUGCUGAGCCACAGGGAUUCGUGAUACCCGACAUGAAGGGGUAAACCUGUUUUGUUGAAGUCACAGGGUUUUAUAUCUAAACUUUCUAGGCACGUUUUCACUGUUUAGGAAAAACCGAGCUGGAAGGUUCUGUGUAUGUUGCCUGACUUUCAACGUGAAAAAGAGGGAAUUACAAUUGUGUUGAAGGUUUUUUCACUCGGAAGGAGGUUUUUGGAAGUUCUCCUUCACCCCACCUUGGGUUAGCAUUCUGUCCCUGCUUCCACAUAUUGUCUCACCUGGUGAGGAGCUACAUGUGACGGGAAUGUGGACAUUUUGAAAAGAAAUACAGUAUUAACAGCAGUGGGGUGAGUGCUUUCAAGAAGGCCUGCCAAUUCUUGUCUUUUCUUCUGAGAUUGCUCACCAGCAUGGAGAUGGCUUUGUGCGGUAAAUUCCUCUUUCACCGUUCUGCUCAGAACUGGGUCAUGACCACCAUAUUGUACCAAGGUUG